UUGAAUAAAAACGAUGAGAAGGUAGGUCGGAAGUCCCAAUCGAAAACAUCACAUUACUCCGUUUCUAUCGAAUGAAUAUUUGAAAUACAGGUAUCACUGAAAUCAAUAGAAAAAGCUACAUCAAAUUAAGCAUAGGCUCUGACUUCAAUACGCUCCCAUAUACUGUAAUUAAAGGGCUCAGGCAAGGAUGAAGGCAAAAAGUGUUUCAGUCAUUAUAUAGCAUUUUAAGAGUAUGGACAGGUGAUAAAAAAAUACAUAGUUGGAUUCACCAGCAACGUCCUUCAUCCAAGAAAUGUGUUUAUUCUUAAGUAAAUCAUUGUAUAAGGCCCAUUUCUUGAUAUAUAAAACUGUGUUUUGUUCCUCAAAACGACAAUAUUAUAGACCAGAUAUACUGACGUCGUGGAUCCCCAAGGUCCUCUCAUUUCAUGAGACGGUGCAUUAUUCAAUAUCCUAGUUUACCGGGAUACAUUGAAUUCUUUACAAAUUUCGAACAUUUUGGCAUUGGCGUCCACAGCAUAUCUGAGAUCUAAUUGUGGAUUUCGUUUGGCAUCUAAAAAAUGAGUUUAUAUAAUAUUUGAAAACUUUUUUUUUGUUGGGUAAACUCUGAAAAAUAAAAGCCGAAUAUUAAAUAAUAAUAUUAAUUUAGGGAAUCUCUAAAAAAUCAUUGAUAAAAGUGUGUCAUAAUUAAAUUUACACCCGGUAUUGAUAAAAUUCGUACAUAUACUUUUUCUAAAUCUUUCCUUUUGUUAAUUAGGGCAGGAGCGAUAUGCCUACGUUUCGAAUGAAUUAUUUGAGUUAUUUGAAACUCUGGUCUGACGAAGGGGACUACUACUCCAAAAAUAUUCAUAAAAUCCAACUUCCUUACGUUCCCAUUCCUGAACCUCUUCCACCUGACCCUGAAAUCCUCAAUCAGAGAAGACAAGUGAUCGCAAAGAGAUUAAUUGAAAUCAAUGCCCGUAAAUGAGAGGAAAAAGUAUAAGUUAUAACUAGCCAAUAUAUCCAGCUUUGACCUACUUACACAAUAUUUCUUUCAAUGAAAUCUUGCUCAUCGAAGAUAAAAACAUCUUGAAGUAUCUUGUCACUGCCACCAACUUUUUGUAUCUGCCUCUGAAGUGAAGGCUCCUACGAUCAAAAUAAGAAGUAUGAUAGAGCGUGCAAAGAUAGCAAAAAAUAAAACUUUAAAGGAAGAUGAGAACUGUGAGGAAUUGCUGGACCCCUGCUGCUCCGAGCCCAAAAACAGAAGAGGAGAUAUGUGCGAGACUGAGAAACCCGAGCUUGAUGCUUGGUUGGGUGAUAUCAAGCAAAAAAGAAAGGGAAUCCUUUAUAAAAGAGGCGCAAGGCAACUGCAAAAGUUAUUAAUUACCACUACAAAGCUACAAUUUUAGAAAGGGAAUCCUUGA
rnacentral:lncRNA from 1 species